rnacentral:misc_RNA from 1 species
CUUAGUUGAAUUGAGUUGAGUAUUGCACCACUCUCUACUUAUUUCACACAUCUUCAAUUAAUUAGCAACAACCCUCUAAAAUUCAACUAGCUUCCAAGCAAUGCAGUACACAAAGAUUAGUUAUCAAGAUAAGAACACGAAAGCAAAUAAACACAAGAUUGAGAGAGAGAGAACAUCUGUUCUACUUCAAAACAACAGAUAAAAGAUCACUUCUGUUAUAACUCCAU